UACGGGGGGGGCAAGCGUUGUUCGGAGUUACUGGGCGUAAAGCGUGCGUAGGCGGUGUCUUAAGUUUGUUGUGAAAUCUCCCGGCUUAACCGGGAGGGUGCGGCGAAUACUGAGAUGCUGGGAGUGCCGGAGAGGUAAGCGGAAUUCCUGGUGUAGCGGUGAAAUGCGUAGAUAUCAGGAGGAACACCUGCGGUGUAGACGGCUUACUGGACGGUAACUGACGCUGAGGCACGAAAGCUAGGGGAGCAAACGGG
rnacentral:rRNA from 1 species